rnacentral:SRP_RNA from 1 species
CGUACUAACCGGGGAGAUAGCGGGUCCUUGUCACCUGAAAUCCGCUAUAGCAGGGGUGAAUAUGCGCUGAGGGAGUUUGCGGACAUCGUCUGUCCUGAAAAUCGGGUUGUGAGAGAUCGGUCCCGCGCAACGGCCUGCCGUGAACCAUGUCAGGCGGGGAACCGAGCAGCAUUAAGCGGCGUCGGCCGUGUGCCGCGGCAAACCGGUUUUGAGUC